CUAAGUUAUGAAGUUUUUCUACUUUUUCUGGAGCUAAGUUAUGGUGUUUUUCUAGUUAUUCUGGAGCUAAGUUAUGGGUUUUUUCUAGUUCUUCUGGAGCUAAGUUAUGGGGUUUUUCUACUUAUUCUGGAGCUAAGUUAUGGGUUUUUUCUAGUUCUUCUGGAGCUAAGUUAUGGGGUUUUUCUAGUUCUUCUGGAGCUAAGUUAUGGGGUUUUUCUAGUUCUUCUGGAGCUAAGUUAUGGGGUUUUUCUAGUUCUUCUGGAGCUAAGUUAUGGGGUUUUUCUAGUUCUUCUGGAGCUAAGUUAUGGGGUUUUUCUACUUAUUCUGGAGCUAAGUUAUGGGUUUUUCUAGUUCUUCUGGAGCUAAGUUAUGGGGUUUUUCUAGUUCUUCUGGAGCUAAGUUAUGGGGUUUUUCUAGUUCUUCUGGAGCUAAGUUAUGGGGUUUUUCUAGUUCUUUUGGAGCUAAGUUAUGGGGUUUUUCUAGUUAUUCUGGAGCUAAGUUAUUGG